GACGAACGCUGGCGGCGUGCUUAACACAUGCAAGUCGAACGGAAAGGCCCUGCUUUUGUGGGGUGCUCGAGUGGCGAACGGGUGAGUAACACGUGAGUAACCUGCCCUUGACUUUGGGAUAACUUCAGGAAACUGGGGCUAAUACCGGAUAGGAGCUCCUGCUGCAUGGUGGGGGUUGGAAAGUUUCGGCGGUUGGGGAUGGACUCGCGGCUUAUCAGCUUGUUGGUGGGGUAGUGGCUUACCAAGGCUUUGACGGGUAGCCGGCCUGAGAGGGUGACCGGCCACAUUGGGACUGAGAUACGGCCCAGACUCCUACGGGAGGCAGCAGUGGGGAAUAUUGCACAAUAGGCGGAAGCCUGAUGCAGCAACGCCGCGUGCGGGAUGACGGCCUUCGGGUUGUAAACCGCUUUCGCCUGUGACGAAGCGUGGGUGACGGUAAUGGGUAAAGAAGCACCGGCUAACUACGUG
rnacentral:rRNA from 1 species